UAGGGAAUAUUGGGCAAUGGAGGCAACUCUGACCCAGCCAUGCCGCGUGCAGGAUGAAGGCCCUCUGGGUUGUAAACUGCUUUUAUCAGGGAAGAAACAAUGGGAUUCAUCCUAUUCUGACGGUACCUGAGGAAUAAGCACCGGCUAACUCCGUGCCAGCAGCCGCGGUAAUACGGAGGGUGCAAGCGUUAUCCGGAUUUACUGGGUUUAAAGGGUGCGUAGGCGGGUUGUUAAGUCAGUGGUGAAAGAUUCGAGCUCAACUCGAGAACUGCCAUUGAUACUGACGAUCUUGAAUAUAGUUGAGGUGGGCGGAAUGUGUCAUGUAGCGGUGAAAUGCUUAGAUAUGACACAGAACACCGAUUGCGAAGGCAGCUUGCUAAACUAUUAUUGACGCUGAGGCACGAAAGCGUGGGUAGCGAACAG
rnacentral:rRNA from 1 species